CUUGGGGUAAGUGCAUAGCAUCUACGAACAUGUCAUUGGCAUCCAUUGCGUGCGUCAAACAAUGACCGUGAUGUUUAACCUAGAAAAGCGCUAUUUCCUUGUUGGUAAAAAUGAUCGUCCUUAAGUGGUUAAACAGGUCAAAAAUGUUAAUACCCUGCUAUUAAGCAUUAUUGUGUUGCGAGUUUUUUGUUUAUCAAUUAACUUUUGUAGUGAGGAAUAAAAUUUUAAAAUGAUAUAAA